rnacentral:tRNA from 1 species
AUUAGGAUGGCAGAUCAGUGCUUAGGAUUUAAGAUCCUAAUAGGGAGUGUAAAAUAGUAUUCAUUCUUUCUAAUA